rnacentral:miRNA from 1 species
GUGAGAUUGAGAGAGAGGAUGAGAGGGGAGAUGGGAGGGAGGAGUAACAAAAGUGAAAACAAAAACUUGAAAGUGAAAACAAUUUCAAGUAGAUUUCAGUUUUUUGUUUCUGUUUUUGUUUUCAGUUUCACUACUCCUCCCUCCCAUCUUCCCUUCUUUUCAGUUGGGAU